UACGAAGGGAGCUAGCGUUGCUCGGAAUCACUGGGCGUAAAGGGCGCGUAGGCGGACUCCUAAGUCGGGGGUGAAAGCCCAGGGCUCAACCCUGGAAUUGCCUUCGAUACUGAGAGUCUUGAGUUCGGAAGAGGUUGGUGGAACUGCGAGUGUAGAGGUGAAAUUCGUAGAUAUUCGCAAGAACACCAGUGGCGAAGGCGGCCAACUGGUCCGAUACUGACGCUGAGGCGCGAAAAGCGUGGGGAGCAAACAGGG
rnacentral:rRNA from 1 species